rnacentral:lncRNA from 1 species
AACCAUUUCUUCAGAAAAAUUUCAUUGGAUUUAUAUCAGUUUGAUGAACACUAAUUUUGAUCAUUGGGAAGCUUGAUAUUUCCUUUACAAUACAACAUGAUUAAAACAUUUAGCUGAUUUUACCGAUUUAUAUCCCUGUAGUGUUAGGUACCACCUUAAUUUGAGUUUUUCCCCUACUAUCUGAGUUACCUCCCCUUAUGUGGCAAAGUUGUAAAAAAAAUGAUUCAAACAAAAAUAGUGUCUUUUAAAAAAAACCAGCUUUAAAUAUGAUAACACAUAAUUUUCUAUAUCAACAUGGUCUUGCACACGAAUUACAUACUACUCUCAAAAUGUGCACAUGAUCUAAGAUGGAGGAAGACACCCCAGCCACCUAACUCGUACAACUGAC